rnacentral:misc_RNA from 1 species
GUAGGUGAACCUGCGGAAGGAUCAUCAACACGUAUCCAACGUAAAACCGUGCAUUUUAACCCUGCUCUCUUCGCCUUGACAAAGCAAUCUCUGGUAAAUCACGCGAGCAGUUUGAUUCAGAGACUUCUUCGAGACGCGUGGAUGGAGCGGUAGAGCAAUUAGACUUGGUUUCCGCAAGGAUAACUGAUACUUACUCAGAUCGUUGACCCUCACUGUCGGUCUCUUGACUUACGCCCCAUAUUAACCCCCA